GACGUAGGGCGCGAGCGUUGUCCGGAUUUAUUGGGCGUAAAGAGCUCGUAGGCGGUCUGUCGCGUCGAUCGUGAAAACUUGGGGCUUAACCCUGAGCUUGCGGUCGAUACGGGCAUGACUCGAGUCCGGUAGGGGAGUGUGGAAUUCCCGGUGUAGCGGUGAAAUGCGCAGAUAUCAGGAGGAACACCGGUGGCGAAGGCGGUUCUCUGGGAAUGUACUGACGCUGAGGAGCGAAAGUGUGGGGAGCGAACAGG
rnacentral:rRNA from 1 species